UUAAAAUUAUAAAGAAGAAUGGAGUCUAUUUUUUAUUUCUUUCAUACUGCUACUGCUACUGUUAUUCAUUUCAAAGAUUUUGAAAAAAAUGACUAAUCAUGUUCUCUAGUCAUUGUUGAUUUAUUCAUCCACCCAAAAUGUAUUUCAGCAAAAAAAGAAAUUAUUGUUAAAAGUGUGGGUAUCUUUCUCCGAAUAGAGAUAUAUUUGGCGUCGGUGGUUGGUUUUUCGGCGACGGUGGCAACGGCAAGGACGACAUUAUCAUAGGUUCAAAUUUUUAGUCUUUGUUACGUUUCCCUCGUUAUGUUAUCUUAAUAUUUCCUCUUACAAAUAAAAAAUCUAUAUUUAAAAAAAACGAAAGAGUGAUUGCAUUAUGAAGGUAAAGAACAACGGAUUCAUUGUAAAAAAAAAAGUAAAAAUACCUUGCGUUUUCUGUUUGUUGCUUAUUACUAGUAUCCCUGAUUUCUUCCUUUGUAUGUGUGUUUUUUUUUGUAGAGUUAAUCUCAGAUUCCUCAUUUUUAAACAAAAUGGGGAUGUAUUUAUAGAGUUUUUUAUUUGUUUAGUUGCUUUCUUUGCCUGCAUUGGUCCUUCUCCAUCAAUUUCCUGUUUGAUGUUUUGAUUUCUUUGCUCAUCAUCUGCAUUUUUCUACACCUCCGAUGCAUUCAUGGUUUUGACUUAUUUGUUUUGAUCUCUUCUGUUGCUGAGCUUUAAUUUGUCCCUUAGUUUAUUUUUUUUUUAAACUCUAAAAUUUGUCUUUUUGUUCUGCACAAUGUGUACCAAGACUGACUUAAAAAUUUAUGUUUUUAUGUUUCUCAAAUUAGUUAAAACAGGAACAGAUGUACCAAUAAGCAUGGCUUGUGCAUCAAUGGCAGUCAUCAUCAACAUGGCAGUGUUUGGCAGUGAACAAAGUCAACAUAGCAUGGCUUGAUCUGAUUUAAUUUUUACUGUAAUUUAAUUUGGCUUUAUUUUUAAAUUGUAAUUUGAUUUUAUUUUAGAAUUGUAAAUAGAUUUGAAAUUGUAAAUUUAUGAGACA
rnacentral:lncRNA from 1 species